rnacentral:lncRNA from 1 species
UAAAAAUAUAUAUAAAUGAUAAGAUACUAAAAUACUAUAUAUGGUUAUAUGGUUAAUUGGUUAUAUUUUAUUAAAAUUUCCUAUGAAUAUUUGGACUGCGUCUCUAACUUUUUUAUUUUUCUAUUCUACUUCCAUAAAAAAUAUUUUAUUAAAUAGGAUGAGUUCGGAUAGUACCAUCCGUUGUUGGUAUAGAAUAAUAUAUACUGAUUAAUUUUAAGUUGGAAAUUUAUGAUAAGCCCGAAUCUAAUAUGGUAUCAGAGUCCAUUUCUCACCUAUUAAUAUAACCAUUUCAACCGGUAAUAAAUAUCCUACUAAACCCUCGCGACCAUAUAUAAAUGUCCUAAAAUUUCAAGAUUUUUGGCCGAU